UACGUAGGGUGCGAGCGUUGUCCGGAAUUAUUGGGCGUAAAGGGCUCGUAGGCGGUUUGUCGCGUCGGGAGUGAAAUCCACUGGCUUAACUGGUGGCUUGCUUUCGAUACGGGCAGACUAGAGGUAUGCAGGGGAGAACGGAAUUCCUGGUGUAGCGGUGAAAUGCGCAGAUAUCAGGAGGAACACCGGUGGCGAAGGCGGUUCUCUGGGCAUUACCUGACGCUGAGGAGCGAAAGUGUGGGGAGCGGACAGG
rnacentral:rRNA from 1 species